AUGGGAUCAACAUCCCCGUCGACAAGUUCUACCUUGGAGAUGCUGGCUAUGCAUGUCCGCCGGGUAUUCUUCCACCCUUCAGGAAAACCAGGUACCAUCUCAACGAGUUCUCUGGUAGGAACUAUCCUAGGACUGCACAGGAGCUGUAUAUUACACUCCAACCUUAGAGUAACUGUUGAGAGGGCAUUUGAAGCUCUGAAGAAUAGGUUUAAGAUCCUGGAUCAGAAGCCAUUCCGCCCAUACCCCCAUUCAGGUUAA
rnacentral:rRNA from 1 species